UAAAGCAGAAGCUAACACACCAUUGUAAAGCAAUUAUACUCCAAUAAAGAUGUUAAAAAAAAUUAAAAAUAUUUUCUAUCCCCUAAUAACUAUUAAAACUAUUAUCCUCUUCAAACAUCUUUUAAAAGGUAGUCACCAUAUGCAGUAUUUUUUCACCAGCCUUUCUUCAACUUCCUAGAGUCUAGUAUUUACUAUAUGUCAUAUUUCAAUAUCUCUGAAAUUAGAAAUAAAUCUUACAUGCAGUGGCAUCUUUACAACUCUAAUUGGCAUUCUUUUGUUUGUUUUCAAGUAGUGUGUAAAUGAAUGGGGCAUCUUUGAAAUGAUGGCAUCUUAAGAGUCAAUGAACUAUGAUAUGUAUAAUGCACAGUGGAAAGAUUCCAGAUUAGAAUCUCCCCAAGUGUAUAGGAAUACAAGAGAUUUCUGUGUCUUGGGGUUGUAUCCUGCAACUUUACUGAAUUCAUCGAUAGACUGUAAAAUAAAGACUGUUACAAGAGACAAAGAAGGACACUACGUAAUGAUCAAGGAAUCAAUCCAAGAAGAAGAUAUAACAAUUGGCAUUUACCAGUUCAAAUCAUGGGGCAUGAUAAUAUGGAAGAAGGUGGCCUAGAGCUGUGGUAAUCUCACUGAGCCAGAGAAACAAUACAUCCAGGACUGGAGGAGUUAAGUUCCCAGAGAAAAGGGAACCAAAGAAAAAUACUACACUGAUGACUCACAUAUGGACUCAAAUUUGGACUGGAACAUCUCCAAAAACUCAACCUCAUGUGUUUGAAUUAUAAAUAUGACAGCUGAAUAUCAAAACCAGCUAACUCUGAGUGACCUAAACCUGCAUAUUUAAAUAAGUGAUUUAAAAGAAUGUUUAUUAAUUUGUUUGGUUUCAAAUCUGAACUUUUUAAAACUGGAAAUGUUGAAAGUACUUGCACAUACAUUACAUGGAAUAGUAUCAUCAAAGUGUGAAAUUCCAGUGCUUUGCUGAGUCCAUUAAUAGCUCUAGAUGAGGCAGAGAAAAUAACUACUGAAGUUGUUAUAAAAGUCAUUGAAAAGUAUUUAGAAUACUUUCCAGAGUCUCUCUUUGACAUUUCAUGAACAUGUCCCUGAGAAUUUUUUGAAUAAAUUUGACCAAAUUGUCAG